UAACUCCUCCUUCAAGUUUUU
rnacentral:piRNA from 1 species